rnacentral:rRNA from 1 species
UACGGGGGGGGCAAGCGUUGUUCGGAAUUACUGGGCGUAAAGGGCUCGUAGGCGGCCAACUAAGUCAGACGUGAAAUCCCUCGGCUUAACCGGGGAACUGCGUCUGAUACUGGAAGGCUUGAAUCCGGGAGAGGGAUGUGGAAUUCCAGGUGUAGCGGUGAAAUGCGUAGAUAUCUGGAAGGAACACCAGUGGCGAAGGCGGCAUCCUGGACCGG